AACGAACGCUGGCGGCAGGCUUAACACAUGCAAGUCGAGCGCCCCGCAAGGGGAGCGGCAGACGGGUGAGUAACGCGUGGGAAUCUACCUAGCUCUACGGAAUAACCCAGGGAAACUUGGACUAAUACCGUAUACGUCCGAGAGGAGAAAGAUUUAUCGGAGUUAGAUGAGCCCGCGUUGGAUUAGCUAGUUGGUGGGGUAAUGGCCUACCAAGGCGACGAUCCAUAGCUGGUCUGAGAGGAUGAUCAGCCACACUGGGACUGAGACACGGCCCAGACUCCUACGGGAGGCAGCAGUGGGGAAUAUUGGACAAUGGGCGAAAGCCUGAUCCAGCCAUGCCGCGUGAGUGAUGAAGGCCCUAGGGCUGUAAAGCUCUUUCAACGGUAAAGAUAAUGACGGUAACCGUAGAAGAAGCCCCGGCUAACUUCGUGCCAGCAGCCGCCGUAAAAC
rnacentral:rRNA from 1 species